rnacentral:rRNA from 1 species
UACGUAGGGGGCAAGCGUUGUCCGGAAUUAUUGGGCGUAAAGAGCUCGUAGGCGGUUCGUCGCGUCGGCUGUGAAAACCCGGAGCUCAACUCCGGGCCUGCAGUCGAUACGGGCGGACUUGAGUGUUGCAGGGGAGACUGGAAUUCCUGGUGUAGCGGUGAAAUGCGCAGAUAUCAGGAGGAACACCGGUGGCGAAGGCGGGUCUCUGGGCCGUAACUGACGCUGAGGAGCGAAAGCAUGGGGAGCGAACAGG